rnacentral:rRNA from 1 species
GUACCCGGAGGGAAAGUUGCAAAGCACUUUGAAGAGAGAGUUAAAGAGGACGUGAAACCGGUAAGGUGGAAACGGAUAGAGUCGGCGUAUCAUUCAAUUAUUCAGUUACAUUAUUUUUAUGUUGUGACCUCUGAGCUCCAGAUUGGGACAGAGGGAAUCAGCAUAAUUUUUUGUGGUGCAUUUACUUGAUUGGUGCUUGGGGAUGUUUGAGGCAGAUUUGUUUCCGUCGUUUUGAGGCCAGCUUGCUGGUACCCAAACGGUGUUAGCAUUUUUUGUCUUGGGCAUUUGAGUAUGGCUCACGUGUAUUUAUUGGACAGAUCUGAGUGUAAGUUACGGUCGCAUGCGACACGUGCUUUUCAAUUAGUUCGGUCCAGUUAAUGCUCUCGUACUCGUUCCCCAUGUAAAAGCCGGUCAUCUAUCCGACCCGUCUUGAAACACGGACCAAGGAGUUUAUCGUGUGCGCAAGUUUUUGGGUGUUAAAAACUUAAAAGCGAAAUGAAAGUAAAUGACUCUUUAGAGUCUGAUGUGCGAUCUUGUAAAAAAGUGUAGCAUGGCCCCAUUCUAACUGUUUACAGUAGGGUGGCGGAAGAGCGUACGCGGUGAGACCCGAAAGAUGGUGAACUAUUCCUGAGCAGGACGAAGCCAGAGGAAACUCUGGUGGAAGUCCGAAGCGGUUCUGACGUGCAAAUCGAUCGUCUGACUUGGGUAUAGGGGCGAAAAACUAAUCGAACCAUCUAGUAACUGGUUUCCUUACGUAAAAAGAAGUUGAGCCCCGGGAUUGGUAGGAGCUGCGGGAGGA